GUCUUGGUGGCUCAGAUGGUAGAGCACUGUGAUGAUGAAUCCAGUGGUCGUGGGUUCAAGUCCCACCCAAGACA